AACAUGAUAAUGUAUUUUACUGCUUGAUUUAUUUCUUACUCAUGGUCAUUUUUAGACGCUGUCAGAGCAGGGGAUGUCAAUAUUGGGUUAUUUGUGGUGGUUGAAGGUUGUUUGGCUUCCGAUGAAUUCAAAUGCAAUGGUAUUAGGAAUUAUUGGUUUCAUUAUCUGUAUGAAUUAGUUUGUAGAGCUUUAUCAUAAAAGCUUGUUUUUGCCCUACCCAUAGUUUAAUUGCCGAAACUACAAGAUAUUGAUAUUUUGGUGGAUCGGAUGGUAUCUUUAGAAGAUAAACAAAUGCUUUUAUCAAUCUCUGCAAGGAGAAAUGGCUUGAGGGGUUUGCUAUUUUGCAUUCUAGUUAUACUAUGUCUUCUUGGAACUGUAUAUAAGAUGCACUUUUUUCUUUAAUUAUUCUUACUAAAGACUAAAGAGUACCGGCUUUUGUUUGUGUGUUUGUCUUGUUACGAGAGAUUUAGAAGUACCAGCAAGCUGGCCUCCCUAUUUGGACGUUCCACACUUUGAAGAUUUAAGUAUCACCGACAGUGACUAUGAGCUGAAGAAAUGUGUUGUCUUAGACCUAGAAGCUACUUUUACAACCUGGAGUGAGGAAUAUGAAUCUUUGAUAUGGCAGAUCUGGAACUUGUAUGUAUUGAUUUUAACUAAUUGCUUUUUAGGUGUAAUUUUGGACUAAUUUUGUUUUGAAUUCGACUAUAUCUAUUAUGGCUUUUAAUGAGGUGCAAGGCUUGCUGGGGAAAAUGCAUUUGUCCAAAAAUAUGUGCUUUCAAGUAUUAUUGUAUUAGAGAUAAAAAUAUGUAACAUUACAUUAUGUUUGUGAGAUUGGGAAUGUGUUGCAGGCCUUUUCAUUUUAAGAAAAUUAAAAAAUUUCAUUUCCUCAA